GGAAUGACUGAGUGGGGAGAGGGAUUCCUAAGAACAUCUUGCUUCCAGGUGCCCCUGUGAGUAACCUGUCCUGUCCAUUGCCCCUCCGCCUGUACCCAGUCCCAUAAGGGGAGAAAAGUGGAUUCUGCAAGGAGGCAUAGUGGUAGCUGGAGGAAAGCAGAUUGAAAAAGUCUAAAGCAUUAGAUCAAUCUGGUCCUAUCAGAUGGCUACAGAUAUCCUGCUUUUACAAAUGAGAAAACUGAAGCUCAGGAAAGGGAAAUGACUUGCCUCCGUGUGCGUAACUGGUCGGACCUGGACUGUCUGGUUUCCAGACCCAAUUCAGAAAACACCACGCUUCAACAAAGUCUAAAGCUCGUAAUGAAGAAGCUAUAGAUCUGGGAUCUGAGAAGGAUGAACCCACGACCUUCAGGGAAGUGGCCAGGAAGCCGCGAGUUUAAGGGAACCAAACAGCAGUUUGAAGAAUCUCCCUUCAAUUCUCAGUUUACUGAGAGUUUUUAAUCAUGAUGAGGUGUUGGAUUUUGUCAAAUGCUUUUCCUGCAUCAGUUGAUAAGUUCAGAUAUCUGGAUGGAAAGGAGCUACCUCUGAACCUGAUGAAGAAGCAACAGGGAACCACUCAGUUACCUGGACUUCAAGCUGAACGUGGGUGAAUAUCUGUCUCCUGGAAUAGAUGACAGCGGGUUCUUCUGGGAGAAUGCAUUAGGGAGGUUGAAGUCUGAGCUCCUUAGCAUGAUGUGAUGGACCGACCUAGCAUGAUCUGACUUCUGCUGAUGGCUCCAACUUCACCCCCAACCCAGACCAACUAAAAGGUCAUAAGAGAGGUCUCCGUUAAGCUGAUACAAGAAGAAGAAGAAGAGAGAGGAAUUUAUUAAUGGACUCAUCCCAGAAGGGUCGUAUAUAACUUCCAUUCACAUCUCAUCGAGCCCAACAGUCACUGGGCCACACCUGGAUUUAAAGGAACAGGAGGAGUCAUGGUCUAGGUGUAGGUUAGAGAAAAAGGGGAGGUCACAUAUGUUGGUGAACCUUGGGGUCUCCAGCAUGGUAGAGUACAUGUAGUGGUGGGGGAGCUUUUGGUCAUUGUUCUUCCAUCCAUUCCUUUGAUGCAGGAUUUCUCUAUGUGGGCACUACUGACACCUCGGGCUGGACAAUUCUUUGUUACACAGGGAUGUCCUGUGUGUUGUAGGAUGUUUCCCAGCUUUUCGGGUCUCUACCUUCUAGAUGUCAGUAACCCCCUCCACCCCCUCCAAUCAUGUCAAUUAAAAAUAUCUCCAAAUAGUUCCAUGUGUUAUGUGGGGGAGGGGGGUGUCCCUAGUUUGAUGUGCUGUUUCUUUACUGAGUGUUUUCUGAAGGCGGUGAAAUAUCUCUUAUUUGCUAAAGUGGUAAUGUCACAGAAUUCUUGAUUCAAAGAUAUCAGGAAUUUAUAUUUUUCCUGAUUCUUUAUUCACAACAGUACCCCUAGUAUCACACUAGUGAGAAACCAAUGGAAGAAACCAGAUCUUAUCUUAAUUUUUAGCCCAUUUAUAUGCCUGCACAUAAUAUUUAUCUCUUUGCUCAUCUCCCUGGAUCUCUUAUGAUCAAUAAUAUGCCUGUAGAUUAAUUUCUGUUUUUAAUCCUUGUUCGGUCAUCUUACUCUGGAAUACUGAAUCUACUUUCCCACAACCUUUGAAUCUGUAGUCCUAGACUGAGUUUCAGCCUUUCUUCUCUUUUUGACAGGGAACAAGAAUCAUACAAGAACCAAAAGGAUCAUAUACCAGAAAUAUCAAAAAUUGACUCUCGUGCUGUAGUGACCACAACCUGCACUCCUGCUGACAUCAUUAAUGAAUCAGAAUACUCUCCUCCUGAGCCUGGAGCCCACCUCAGAAUCCAGGAAGCAACUGAGGCAGUUGAUAGAUUGAACAGGAUUGUAAAAAGAGAUUCAAAUUAUUUGGUCUCCAAGCUCUGGUCAUUUUUAGAGCUACAGAAACUGAAAACCAGGUGAUGAAAAGGAGUGCCCAGGCCACCUGGAGUUUUGGUCUUCUGACCUCGUGUUUCUUCGCCUGUCCCUCAUUUAUGAAUCAAGGAGGCUUGUCCAAGCCCAGUGACUUGCUUGGAAGUAGAGCCUUGAAAAGUGUGCUAAAAAUAAGAGUAUUGCUUAGAAUGGUGGGGGUGAACUUGAGUUUAACCAGAUUCUCUUUUCUUUGCUUUUUGAGCAACAAAGAAUACUCCUGUGUGUUGCACAGAGAUUGGAGAGGCUAUAAUAAUCCCUGCCACCAUGACUUUUAAGAGAUCAAAGAAAAUUCUGAGUGGUACCUAAAUGUCCAAAUUUAAAAUUCAAGAAAAAAAUAAGCAGCAGCACAUAAAAACUUUUCUGCAGCAGCCUGCAGGAAGGGUAAAUAUGGCAUGUAUAUUUGAAUGAAAGAAUUUGAGAUUCAGUCUUAGCCAGCCUUUUUAGGAAAAAAAAAAAGUCAGGGUCUGAUGGGAAAUAAAAAGCUGUUUAUGUUUUAUCGUUUGUAUACAAUAAAAUACACUGG
rnacentral:lncRNA from 1 species